rnacentral:rRNA from 1 species
UACGUAGGGCGCAAGCGUUGUCCGGAAUUAUUGGGCGUAAAGAGCUCGUAGGUGGCGUGUCGCGUCUGCCGUGAAAGCCCAUGGCUCAACUGCGGGUCUGCAGCCGAUACGGGCAGGCUAGAGUUCGGUAGGGGAGACUGGAAUUCCUGGUGUAGCGGUGAAAUGCGCAGAUAUCAGGAAGAACACCAAUGGCGAAGGCAGCUCUCUGGGACGGUACUGACACUGAGACGCGAAAGCGUGGGGGAGCGAACAGG